rnacentral:rRNA from 1 species
GUGACUGCGUACCUUUUGUAUAAUGGGUCAGCGACUUAUAUUCUGUAGCAAGGUUAACCGAAUAGGGGAGCCGAAGGGAAACCGAGUCUUAACUGGGCGUUAAGUUGCAGGGUAUAGACCCGAAACCCGGUGAUCUAGCCAUGGGCAGGUUGAAGGGUGGGUAACACUAACUGGAGGACCGAACCGACUAAUGUUGAAAAAUUAGCGGAUGACUUGUGGCUGGGGGUGAAAGGCCAAUCAAACCGGGAGAUAGCUGGUUCUCCCCGAAAGCUAUUUAGGUAGCGCCUCGUGAAUUCAUCUCCGGGGGUAGAGCACUGUUUCGGCAAGGGGGUCAUCCCGACUUACCAACCCGAUGCAAACUGCGAAUACCGGAGAAUGUUAUCACGGGAGACACACGGCGGGUGCUAACGUCCGUCGUGAAGAGGGAAACAACCCAGACCGCCAGCUAAGGUCCCAAAGUCAUGGUUAAGUGGGAAACGAUGUGGGAAGGCCCAGACAGCCAGGAUGUUGGCUUAGAAGCAGCCAUCAUUUAAAGAAAGCGUAAUAGCUCACUGGUCGAGUCGGCCUGCGCGGAAGAUGUAACGGGGCUAAACCAUGCACCGAAGCUGCGGCAGCGACACUGUGUGUUGUUGGGUAGGGGAGCGUUCUGUAAGCCUGUGAAGGUGUGCUGUGAGGCAUGCUGGAGGUAUCAGAAGUGCGAAUGCUGACAUAAGUAACGAUAAAGCGGGUGAAAAGCCCGCUCGCCGGAAGACCAAGGGUUCCUGUCCAACGUUAAUCGGGGCAGGGUGAGUCGACCCCUAAGGCGAGGCCGAAAGGCGUAGUCGAUGGGAAACAGGUUAAUAUUCCUGUACUUGGUGUUACUGCGAAGGGGGGACGGAGAAGGCUAUGUUGGCCGGGCGACGGUUGUCCCGGUUUAAGCGUGUAGGCUGGUUUUCCAGGCAAAUCCGGAAAAUCAAGGCUGAGGCGUGAUGACGAGGCACUACGGUGCUGAAGCAACAAAUGCCCUGCUUCCAGGAAAAGCCUCUAAGCAUCAGGUAACAUCAAAUCGUACCCCAAACCGACACAGGUGGUCAGGUAGAGAAUACCAAGGCGCUUGAGAGAACUCGGGUGAAGGAACUAGGCAAAAUGGUGCCGUAACUUCGGGAGAAGGCACGCUGAUAUGUAGGUGAAGUCCCUCGCGGAUGGAGCUGAAAUCAGUCGAAGAUACCAGCUGGCUGCAACUGUUUAUUAAAAACACAGCACUGUGCAAACACGAAAGUGGACGUAUACGGUGUGACGCCUGCCCGGUGCCGGAAGGUUAAUUGAUGGGGUCAGCGCAAGCGAAGCUCUUGAUCGAAGCCCCGGUAAACGGCGGCCGUAACUAUAACGGUCCUAAGGUAGCGAAAUUCCUUGUCGGGUAAGUUCCGACCUGCACGAAUGGCGUAAUGAUGGCCAGGCUGUCUCCACCCGAGACUCAGUGAAAUUGAACUCGCUGUGAAGAUGCAGUGUACCCGCGGCAAGACGGAAAGACCCCGUGAACCUUUACUAUAGCUUGACACUGAACAUUGAGCCUUGAUGUGUAGGAUAGGUGGGAGGCUUUGAAGUGUGGACGCCAGUCUGCAUGGAGCCGACCUUGAAAUACCACCCUUUAAUGUUUGAUGUUCUAACGUGGACCCGUGAUCCGGGUUGCGGACAGUGUCUGGUGGGUAGUUUGACUGGGGCGGUCUCCUCCUAAAGAGUAACGGAGGAGCACGAAGGUUGGCUAAUCCUGGUCGGACAUCAGGAGGUUAGUGCAAUGGCAUAAGCCAGCUUGACUGCGAGCGUGACGGCGCGAGCAGGUGCGAAAGCAGGUCAUAGUGAUCCGGUGGUUCUGAAUGGAAGGGCCAUCGCUCAACGGAUAAAAGGUACUCCGGGGAUAACAGGCUGAUACCGCCCAAGAGUUCAUAUCGACGGCGGUGUUUGGCACCUCGAUGUCGGCUCAUCACAUCCUGGGGCUGAAGUAGGUCCCAAGGGUAUGGCUGUUCGCCAUUUAAAGUGGUACGCGAGCUGGGUUUAGAACGUCGUGAGACAGUUCGGUCCCUAUCUGCCGUGGGCGCUGGAGAACUGAGGGGGGCUGCUCCUAGUACGAGAGGACCGGAGUGGACGCAUCACUGGUGUUCGGGUUGUCAUGCCAAUGGCACUGCCCGGUAGCUAAAUGCGGAAGAGAUAAGUGCUGAAAGCAUCUAAGCACGAAACUUGCCCCGAGAUGAGUUCUCCCUGACCCUUUAAGGGUCCUGAAGGAACGUUGAAGACGACGACGUUGAUAGGCCGGGUGUGUAAGCGCAGCGAUGCGUUGAGCUAACCGGUACUAAUGAACCGUGAGGCUUAACCUU